rnacentral:rRNA from 1 species
GACGAACGCUGGCGGCGCGCUUAACACAUGCAAGUCGAACGGAAAGGCCCUGCUUUUGUGGGGUGCUCGAGUGGCGAACGGGUGAGUAACACGUGAGUAACCUGCCCUUGACUUUGGGAUAACUUCAGGAAACUGGGGCUAAUACCGGAUAGGAGCUCCUGCUGCAUGGUGGGGGUUGGAAAGUUUCGGCGGUUGGGGAUGGACUCGCGGCUUAUCAGCUUGUUGGUGGGGUAGUGGCUUACCAAGGCUUUGACGGGUAGCCGGCCUGAGCGGGUGACCGGCCACAUUGGGACUGGGAUACGACCCGGACUCCUACGGGAGGCAGCGGUGGGGAAUAUUGCACAAUGGGCGGAGGCCUAAUGCAGCAACGCCGCGUGCGGGAUGACGGCCUUCGGGUUGUAAACCGCUUUCGCCUGUGACGAAGCGUGAGUGACGGUAAUGGGUAAAGAAGCACCGGCUAACUACGUG